rnacentral:rRNA from 1 species
GAUGAACGCUGGCGGCGUGCCUAAUACAUGCAAGUCGAGCGAAUGGAUUAAGAGCUUGCUCUUAUGAAGUUAGCGGCGGACGGGUGAGUAACACGUGGGUAACCUGCCCAUAAGACUGGGAUAACUCCGGGAAACCGGGGAUAAUACCGGAUAAUACUUUGAACUGCAUGGUUCAAAAUUGAAAGGAGGCUUCGGCUGUCACUUAUGUAUGGACCCGCGUCGCAUUCGCUAGUUGGUGAGGUAACGGCUCACCAAGGCAACGAUGCGUAGCCGACCUGAGAGGGUGAUCGGCCACACUGGGACUGAGACACGGCCCAGACUCCUACGGGAGGCAGCAGUAGGGAAUCUUCCGCAAUGGACGAAAGUCUGACGGAGCAACGCCGCGUGAGUGAUGAAGGCUUUCGGGUCGUAAAACUCUGUUGUUAGGGAAGAACAAGUGCCAGUUGAAUAAGCUGGCACCUUGACGGUACCUAACCAGAAAGCCACGGCUAACUACGUGCCAGCCGCCGCAGUAA